UGUUUCGACGUAACUCCCUAACAAAUAUCCAACGCCGAUUAGAGUCAUAGUCUGAGAAAUGUUUCUGUCGCAUCAAAGUUUAGCUGAAUCGUACAACGACUAAAGCAAAUUGGAUUAAACUUCACAUAAAUCGAAGCAUUAGCAAUUUCAACUUAGACAUGCGUGGCGCGGCGCGCGGGAACGAAACCGCAAUUGUUCAUUGCUUCGAGUACAUGAAAACUCACUGAAAAAUUGAAAACAGGUAAAACCGCAUUAAAUAGAACAGCGACUGGAUUAACAAGUGGCCAGGUGUCUAGUUUCGUGGAAGGAAAAUGAUCCCUCACCCGACGAUAUUUCUUGUGAAGGGUCUCUUAUGCAUGGAAAGGUCUUCGGCGCCUUAUCGAACAUGCAAUGAUGUCAUGUUCUACUACAUAUACUGCAGUUUCCAGUAUUUUCCCCUCAGCAAUAAGAGAAGUGAUCAAAGUGACGCACUGGGGCCACUGAACUGUCAAAUAACAAUCAGAAGUCUGGAAAGAAGAAAUUCGGGAGCAAGGUGUUAUUAGCUCGAAAAAUUUUGUAGAAUUGUCAGCUAUCUUACACAUCCUUGCGAAGUUAUAAUCAGUUAGAAUGCUACUUAAUGAUUAAAACUGUAUUUACCACUGUA